UUGAACGGUUCCGUAUGAGUUGACACUGCAAGGCCACGUUCGACGAAUGACACGAAAGCAGAGCACGCGAGAUAUUUAUCUAAUGGUAAUGUACAAAUAUGGCCGAGUCACUUGUCCUUCGUACGGAAACGAUCGGGCAAUGCCUAGUAGACAGCGGGGAGAGAGAAUGCGUUAGUGUCAGCCUCAAAUUCCAUUGUUUUGGAAACGUUAUCAGCAAUACAGCAGAAAAAGAGGUUAGUGUCCGCUGUCUCCGAAGGGACGGAUGCCCAGUCAAGAACCGAAUAACGGCAUAGCUGCGAGAGAACAUAUUACGUCUUCUGUUACAUGGCUAGACAGACAAUGUGGCAACAAUACAUCGGUGACGUAACGAGAAUAUAACGGGGAAACAGUGCAACAAGAGUACAACGGCCAAGCUGUGCAACAAGAAUACAAUGGUGAAGCAUUGCAACGAUUAAUUUAUUAGAACUAGCAGUCAUGAUAGAUGCGGUUCCUUGGUAUAGUUUCGAUGAAUACAAUUAUCGUACCGGAGGAUCCGGUUCGGGCCUAGUAGGAUCGGCUCGAAGUGUAGAAUAAUGAGUGAAGAAUGAUCGACGUGGGACGACAAAGCACUUCGAUACUGGGCUGAGUACUGGACGGAUACAGAGCGACAUAAUCAAGAUCCGGUAAUCCGAGGACCUGGACCACUGGAUGUCGCAGUAUAUCAUCGCGAAAUGGUGAAUGUUCAAAUUGAAGGCUCACAAAGCCGUCUCAUAAUGUAGUGCAUGCAAAAAUCGCAUUGAUUUCCUAGUAAAAAAUGUCAUCAGUCAGUCAGAGUUUCUGUACUCCGACAGUUCGAAGUUACGCGAAAAGGCCUCAGGAAUUAACAACGCACGAUUAACAGCGUGCGCGCUUGUAGAAUAAUCUAGUUAGGAUCCUGCGCUAUAACAUAAUCGUUUCAGUCACGAUUUGCUCAUAAACAUAAUUACUAUAAUUGAAUAUGUCAUGAAAGAUGACUCGUAAUUACGCACAUGCAAUCGUCUAUUUAUGCGUCUGAUGUGCGCUCGGCGCACCUAAAUCAUUCACCUCUCGGGAUAUAAUCGAUUGCUUUAUCCUCGCA